CGAGGACGGCCGCUGAGUUAACAAGAGGAUGGAUUUGCUUGGCCUGAUCCAACUCCCACACAGGGAAUGGAAAGGUUCCCACUGAUGUAAUCAGAGCUGGAUCAGGCCCAAGAUGACCAGCGAUUAAUCAUGAUUAUUUAUUUGUUAGCAGCACCAGCGAUGGAUUUGAAAAUUUACAAGACAUAAAUAUAAGGCAGAGCCUGCCCCGAAUUUCUCAGCAGCCAACUGCUCUGGUUUUACAAGAAGAGGCACUCUGGGAAGUCCACAUGAGAACAGAUGCGAUCCCCUCCAGCAAUAUCCUGAUGACAACCUAAAAGUUAAUGAAUGCGAAAGUGAAGAUGGCACAGAACACUGGGACAAAGGAUGUCCUUGAUGCUUGUCCCAUCUUCAGCAAAUUGAGAGGUAGAUCCGAGCCUCAAGAACUGUAGACAACAAUAAACAACCCUACAAGAAGGAGGCUGGGCUGCUGCCAGAGCCAGAUCUGCUGGAAAUCAGUGUAAUUCCACUGGUAUGCUAUCUGAGAAGGGAGCAUCAUCCAUUUUCAGCAGCUGAAGACUCCCUGGGAGUCCCCAUAGAGGCACAUGGUGCUGCAAAACGUGGACAGAUGGAUCAUGUAUCCCUCAGUACCCAGAGGACCAUCACACUUCAAGGGUAUCCUUCAUUAAAGCAGUGAUAGGAACCUAACAGUCUGCGUGUCCCUAGUUAACAGGAGCUGGUGACUGAAGGUCUGUAUAGACUGAAAGUCUAUGAUAAAGCUCCUAUUGACCGUAGUGAGAGCUUAAUUAGGGCUUUAAAGCCACACCUGGCAAAUAUCAUCCGAAUCACUGCAUCUUUCCAAAAAAAGCUCUCCUUUUGCUCGUUUCACAGCUCUGUGGUCCCAGGCACUCAGGAGGAACAGCAGAACAGCAGCCUGUGCCCACGGGCUCUCGAGACUGACUCCUCUUUCAUACACUCACUAAACUGUGUAGCAUUUAUGCAAUCCAGCAGGCUCCAUCUCAUAACUCCA
ensembl:lncRNA